UCUUAAUCAACGUGGGCCUCCAGGCCUCAACCUACCGGGCUCUCGAUCUCGACCGGGCUCCCGAUCUCCGGCAGAGCCGCCGGCCCUUCAACUGCGCCGCCUCCUCCACCUCCCCCCUCGCUACACCCUCCUCCGUCAGCCUCGGCGUCCCCGAUCUAAUAAGCACACUGGCGUGUUGUGUGACACGGACGAGCAUCUUCAAGUCGGAGCUUCUGCGUCGCCUCUGGUGGUCGCGCACGCUCUCCCCUCGGAGGCCUGCGCUAACUCCGCCCCGCACCAGCACGAGGACGUGAUUCCGCCGCCAGAGAGGAUGCCCCGGCGGGCGCAGCACGAUUCCGCUGCUUCUUCUAGAAGGUCAGCAAGACAAGGGUGAGAAGCCACUGCAUAGAGUUGAUUUUCUUGAGGACGAAGGAUUGUCUACUAGUAGCUUGCUUCCUUUAAACCUUGCCAGAUCAAUAAUAUUGUCAGCAUCAUACAUGGCAUCUCUAAGCUCACCGAGCCAAUUGCUAACUGCAGACUCUUGUAUGCUUCUCUGCUCAGCAUCACUAACAAAACAUUGUAUUUGCU
rnacentral:lncRNA from 1 species